rnacentral:rRNA from 1 species
AGUGGCGGACGGGUGAGUAAUGUCUGGGAAACUGCCUGAUGGGAGGGGGAUAACUACUGGAAACGGUAGCUAAUACCGCAUAACGUCGAAAGACCAAAGAGGGGGACCUUCGGGCCUCUUGCCAUCGGAUGUGCCCAGAUGGGAUUAGCUUGUUGGUGGGGUAAUGGCUCACCAAGGCGACGAUCCCUAGCUGGUCUGAGAGGAUGACCAGCCACACUGGAACUGAGACACGGUCCAGACUCCUACGGGAGGCAGCAUG